UACGUAGGGUGCGAGCGUUGUCCGGAAUUAUUGGGCGUAAAGAGCUUGUAGGCGGUUUGUCGCGUCUGCUGUGAAAUUUCGGGGCUCAACCCCGAACUUGCAGUGGGUACGGGCAGACUAGAGUGUGGUAGGGGAGACUGGAAUUCCUGGUGUAGCGGUGAAAUGCGAAGAUAUCAGGAGGAACACCGAUGGCGAAGGCAGGUCUCUGGGCCACUACUGACGCUGAGAAGCGAAAGCAUGGGGAGCGAACAGG
rnacentral:rRNA from 1 species